CUAUAGGGCGCACUAGAUUAUAAGGCGCACUGUCAAUGAAUGGUCUAUUUUCGAUCUUUUUUCAUAUAUAAAGCGCACCGGACUAUAAGGCGCAUUCAGUGGAAAAAAAACAGUCAGAUAACUCAGUCGAUCAAACUUUAUUAAACGCGUUCACAAUAAUCCUCAACAUUAUUCAAACGUUAAUGAGCGUAUUCACAAUAACUACCAACCUUAUUCGGUUGUAUUUUGGGAUCCUUAUACACACACUGUAAUAUUAUGGCGAAGCACAGUAUUGUAACGGACUGAGGGAAAUGUUAUGUCCGGAUGUAAGUGAACGUCUCACGAGCUGGUAGCUGUGAGGCGUGUCUGUGAUUGGACAGCGAGUGAUGUUGUUGUGUUCCGCGGGUUCCGAGCGGAGCUAUGACCCGGAGCAGACGUGAAGCUGGUUUUGAGGUUUCACGGCGGUUUGUUGUCGUUUUGGCGUAGGCUACGGCCAACAGUAGCUUGUUCUAUGUUCCUUGAAUAAACACCCUAUAAGCCAUCUACGUCUCGUAGCGUUCCUGACCCAGGGUCGCUACAGUAUGUAUUACUCCGCGACGCUCCUGGCUACGGUAGCCGUAACGCUGCAAGCGGUGCGGCUUUGUAGUUUACCAAAGUCGUACUAAAACAUUUUGACUUAGCGCCGUGAGCGCCUUGUACCACACAAAAUCGCUUAGAGACUCUUUGCACUUUGAAGCUUUGUACUGUUCUCAUAGCGGAUUCCCUGCCUGCGGAUUCCUGGUCUAAAGUUUCUCCUUUUCUUAAUGAAGCUUUGCUGCUGCGUGGCGCCGAUAACCCCACAGGGAUCGUUUAAGACUAAUCUUGUCUGAUUUAACUGAAUCUGCACUCCGGGUCAAGGAAACAAGGCAGCCGCUCCCACUUUAACUGUUGCCAUCAUUCCUCAUCUCGUGACACCUUAGCGACACCCGGGGCGGCCAUCAGCGUCGCCUUCGCCACCAUCUCCCUUUCCAUCACGCUUUCAAUUGCGAUCGUCUAAUUUUCCUGCCCCGGAAUGCCGCGUCCAGAGUGGAGAUGUGAGAUCUGUCAAGUGCGACACCGUGGGGUGGGGGGAUGGGGGGGGGGGGGGAGAACCUGCGUCAGAGAAUGCCCGGGCACAAGCUAUUUCCUCAGUGUGCGGCCUGCAAUUCAUUUCAUAAAUGUCAGGCGAAGCUUGGCAAGCCAUCUAACCCAACCACCCCAUCCCCCCCCCCCCCCCCCCACAGCCUGAUGGGUAAUAUUCUUAUGAGAGAUCAUUUUGAUUGGCUUCCCUGCCCUUUUCAUUGUCUGAGCGACAGGGAGGGGAGGAAUGCUGAUGAUGUGGUGUGUGUGUGUGUCUCUAUGCACAUCUAGAGGAGUAUCUAUGGACGUUUGUGUGUAUGCACAUUUUUAAAUAUGUAUAGACGUGUGUGUGUGUGUGUGGCUGAAUGUUGAAGGUUUAUGUAAACAGAGUUGAGAAAUGCAAUAAACCUGUCACAUGGAGAAUGCUGCUGUCAUGGCAUCAAACUGAGCGCACUGUCA